rnacentral:lncRNA from 1 species
UAUGCUCAGCUUUUCUUCAUUAACUAUGCCCAGGCCGGAGUUCGCCAUCCAGUCCAUCAAGACAGAUGUCCACAGUCCUCUUAAGUACAGGGUGCUGGGCUCACUACAGAACCUACCAGGCUUCUCUGAGGCGUUCCACUGCCCACGAGGCAGCCCCAUGCACCCUAUGAAUCGAUGUCGCAUCUGGUAGCCAAGGCUGAGCUAUGCUGCGGCCCACGCCCCGCCACCCAGAGGCUUCGUGAAUGGUGUAGCCGGCAUAGAUGUGCAGGUUGUUGCCUGAAGGCCACUGGAGCCACCAGCCAGCCCUCCGCGCCCAGCCUAGAGGGCAGCCACCCGCCCACAUCUGGGAUGAGUGGUGGUGCCUGGUCCUGCGCCUUUUCCGGCCAGUGAGGGUCAGCGGCCCGGUAGGAGCAGUCAGCUGUCCCCCACCCUCUUCAUAGUGUGUGGCUAAAUGUCCUCGAGCUUCAGACUUGAGCUAAGUAAACGCUUCAAAG